AGCAGUGUGGUGUAGUGGUAAGGAGUUAGGCUCAUAACCAAAAGGUUGCUGCUUCGAUUCCCUGCUGGGCCACUGCUG